rnacentral:rRNA from 1 species
GACGAACGCUGGCGGCGUGCUUAACACAUGCAAGUCGAACGGUAAGGCCCUUCGGGGUACACGAGUGGCGAACGGGUGAGUAACACGUGGGUGAUCUGCCCUGCACUUCGGGAUAAGCCUGGGAAACUGGGUCUAAUACCGGAUAGGACCACUGCCUGCAUGGGUGGUGGUGGAAAGCUUUUGCGGUAUGGGAUGGGCCCGCGGCCUAUCAGCUUGUUGGUGGGGUGAUGGCCUACCAAGGCGACGACGGGUAGCCGGCCUGAGAGGGUGACCGGCCACAAUGGGACUGAGAUACGGCGCAGACUCCUACGGGAGGCAGCAGUGGGGAAUAUUGCACAAUGGGCGCAAGCCUGAUGCAGCGACGCCGCGUGAGGGAUGACGGCCUUCGGGUUGUAAACCUCUUUCAGCACCGACGAAGCGCAAGUGACGGUAGGUGCAGAAGAAGGACCGGCCAACUACGUGCCAGCAGCCGCGGUAA